AAGUCGUAACAAGGUCUCCGUAGGUGAGUGAAGUCGAAUCUAUUCCGCUAUUUGAGUUGAAUCUUAUGCUAACAUAUGUCUUUAGGUGAACCUGCGGAGGGAUCAUUACCGAGUGAGGGCCUCCGGGCCCGACCUCCCACCCCUUGACAAACGUCCGGUUUGCCUCGGGGGUGACCCGGCCCUCCGUGAUGGAGCGUCCGGGUGCCCCCGGAGGGAUACCUACUCUGCGUUUCUGCGUCGGAGUCGAAUGGAAAAUGAAUGAAAACUUUCAACAACGGAUCUCUUGGUUCUG
rnacentral:misc_RNA from 1 species